AAAUAACUUUAGGGUUAGCCUCAGGUACGAAGCCGCCGGGGGUAGAGCGACUGGAUGGGGGAUGGGGGCUACCCGCCUACCACCUCCAACCAAACUCCGAAUACCGGUGGUGGAUCCCUGGGAGAUAGACCGCGAGCGACAAUGUCCGCGGUCAAGAGGAGAAAAAUCCUGAUCGCCGGCUAAGGCCCCGAAUGUAUGCUCAGUCAAAGGAAGUCAGACUGCCGUGACAGCCAGGAUGUUGGCUUAGAAGCAGCCAUCAUUUAAAGAGUGCGUAAUAGCUCACUGGUCGAGGAGUUUGGCGCCGAUAAUGAUCGGGAAUAAGCAUACAGCCGAAGCCGCGGGCGCCAUCCCUCAGGGGUGGCGCGGUAGGAGAGCGUUCCAGGUGCGGCGAAGCGGUCCGGAAACGGGUCGUGGAGCGCCCGGAAGCGAGUAUGCGGGCUUGAGUAACGAUUAACAGGGUGAGAAUCCCUGUCGCCGAACACCCAAGGUUUCCUGGGGAAGGUAAAUCCGCCCAGGGUUAGUCGGGACCUAAGGCGAGGCCCAA
rnacentral:rRNA from 1 species